CAGUCGCCACGGUAAUACGUAGGGCGCGAGCGUUAUCCGGAAUCAUUGGGCGUAAAGCGUGCGCAGGCGGUGAUGUAAGACAGUUGUGAAAUCCCCGGGCUCAACCUGGGAACUGCAUCUGUGACUGCAUCGCUGGAGUGCGGCAGAGGGGGAUGGAAUUCCGCGUGUAGCAGUGAAAUGCGUAGAUAUGCGGAGGAACACCGAUGGCGAAGGCAAUCCCCUGGGCCUGCACUGACGCUCAUGCACGAAAGCGUGGGGAGCAAACAGGAUUAGAUACCCCGGUAGUCCCUGUCUCUUAUAC
rnacentral:rRNA from 1 species